AUGUGUUUAAUACUUGCUGUGGGAUAUGCGCAGUGCACAGAUACCAGCGCUGCUUCGCUUCUGGAGCUGGGGGGGGCGGGGAGGAAGGAGGCGUUUACAGCCGCGGCUGGGCACCCCACUCAGGGUGCUUUUCCAGGAAGGGGCGUGCAGAUCACCAGGGACCUGCAGCCCCAGCAUGGAUCCUUGGCAGUGGUGGCUGCAGCAGCCCAAGUCAAGCACUUGUGCCACCUGCUCCCCGUAGGAACAACUCCUACCUCGGGCCGCAAGUCAGACGUCCCUUGGCUCCCAGUGCCCUUCCUUGGUCGCUGUGCCCGGAAGCAGGGCGGGACGUCUUCCCAUUCAGGCGGCGGCCACCAGCUGACUGCUGACGACCCUCGAGGCUGGAACUCAAAGGUUGUCACUGUCUUCAUUAAUGAGCAAAACAACAGAGUCCAGAGCAUUUCUCGCAGCCUUUCAUCUUUCAUCCUCUCCUCCAAGGGGACAGGCAGUGAUGUUUCUCGUGUUCUGAUUCGCAUUUGGUGUGAAAAUUGUUACUUGUCAAACUGGGCAGAGGCCAUCAUUAGAUUUCAAAGUGGUCACAGAGACAUACACACAAGAACCAGACUGAAAAAAAAAAUGCCGAUGGAACUAAUGAAGUAGGAGCAGAGAGACUGAACAAAAAUGCAUUUCCCUUGGAAAUUAUUUUCACAGUGGCUUCAAUUUUGAGACAUUAAAAUAAAAUGAAAGCUGCAAGCUACUCGUUUUCAAAAUGCAGUCUUGAAUUCUAAACAGAUGCAAAAAGCACUUACGUGUUUUAUUCAACUCAACUGUGUGAUUUUUGUCUCUCAGUUUGGAAAACUUUUGUCCACGGAUGUUUCAGGUUGAUGGCAGAAGAAAAUGGUUUGUGCUUGUUGGCUGUUUGUGGACAUUAGUGAUCAGGAUGGCCCCCAAAACCCAAAGAAAAUGCUUGAUUUCCUAAAAACAGUAUGUUAGGCCUCUACUGCUUCAAAUGCUUUAAAAGCUCAGAGGCACAAACAAAAACCUUUCCAGAAUAAAUAAUUUUUAUCUAAAUUCUCUUAGAUUUUAAAUGUAGCAUCAAUAGUUCCAUAAAUAUUUAACAUUCUCUGUUAAAGGAACACUCUUUUUUUCAGGGAAAAAAUUACCCAGUAUAUAAAGACUAACUAGCUCAUUUCUUAGAAGGCAGGAAGGUACCCCCAGAAAAGAUGCCACCACGCCAGUGGAAGUGCAGCAGCGCUGACCGCAUCUGUAAACCUGUGUUUUUUUUCUAGGCAGGAAGGCAUCGAGGGGCGGCUGGCCUGGCCACCUCGGGCGGCCCCCCGCGAGUCCCCACAUCGCAGGGUUGGCUGGACAUAAGGAGCUACAGCUGUACUUAUUACGAAAAGUGGGAAACGAGACAUUUGUUUAUUUGUGUUGACUGAGCAACUUCACAUUUCUAAGCCAAUCCUGUUACAGGAAAUGCUGUUCCACAACUUCAGUUGUUAAAAGUAUUUCAUUCUGCACUACAGCAAUAUUAUUUUAAAUAUCACUGCUGCUAUAUUAGCUGAGCCUAUUUUACAGAUUACGUUUUAGUUUGUUGUUGCCUAUUAACCGAAAGGGCCCGUCGGCUUUUGUAACCGAUUCUAUUGCAGUGGUUUUCAGUCUUCUCCGGCGGGUCCUGAACCAGAAGAUGCAGCUCAGUCCAAAGCCAGCCCCGGCUCCAGUGACCACCGUCUGGUAGCAGGUUUUCUCGGACGGGCCCCGGCCACCUUCAGGGACAGCUCGGUCGCGCUCACAGACGUGGAGACGCGUGCGGAGUAAAGGGGCUCGGAACCGCCACGCGUCCCAGGGACUGGCCUGACCGGACCUCGGCCCCCGUCCCCGAGGACGUGCAGCUCAGGAGGCCCUUCCUCCGGCCCCGGGGACCCAGGGCGGGGAGAGGACACACUGCGCGGCCGCCCGCUUCCC
ensembl:lncRNA